GAUGAACGCUGGCGGCGUGCCUAAUACAUGCAAGUCGAGCGAACAGACGGGGAGCUUGCUCCUCUGACGUUAGCGGCGGACGGGUGAGUAACACGUGGAUAACCUACCUAUAAGACUGGGAUAACUUCGGGAAACCGGAGCUAAUACCGGAUAAUAUAUUGAACCGCAUGGUUCAAUAGUGAAAGACGGUUUUGCUGUCACUUAUAGAUGGAUCCGCGCCGCAUUAGCUAGUUGGUAAGGUAACGGCUUACCAAGGCAACGAUGCGUAGCCGACCUGAGAGGGUGAUCGGCCACACUGGAGCUGAGACACGGUCCAGACUCCUACGGGAGGCAGCAGUAGGGAAUCUUCCGCAAUGGGCGAAAGCCUGACGGAGCAACGCCGCGUGAGUGAUGAAGGUCUUCGGAUCGUAAAACUCUGUUAUUAGGGAAGAACAAAUGUGUAAGUAACUAUGCACGUCUUGACGGUACCUAAUCAGAAAGCCACGGCUAACUACGUG
rnacentral:rRNA from 1 species